UACGGGGGAGCAAGCGUUGUUCGGAUUUACUGGGCGUAAAGGGCGCGUAGGCGGCCAGCACAAGUCAGUUGUGAAAUCUCCGGGCUUAACUCGGAAAGGUCAACUGAUACUGUGCGGCUAGAGUGCAGAAGGGGCAACUGGAAUUCUCGGUGUAGCGGUGAAAUGCGUAGAUAUCGAGAGGAACACCUGCGGCGAAGGCGGGUGCUGGGCUGACACUGACGCUGAUGCGCGAAAGCCAGGGAGCGAACAGG
rnacentral:rRNA from 1 species